rnacentral:tRNA from 1 species
CGCGGGGUGGAGCAGCUUGGUAGCUCGUCGGGCUCAUAACCCGAAGGUCGUCGGUUCAAAUCCGGCUCCUGAAACCA